AAACAGUCCAAAAGAAGUCCAUGAACAUAAAGAAUUAAACCUUUUGAAAAUUAUCUUCCCCCACUGCUAAAUUUGACUGGCUUUAA
rnacentral:sRNA from 1 species